CUUUUGUAAACCAAAGGAUACCAUAACUGCCACAAAACUGCAGCCUAUUGUAGGGAGCGGCUAAAGAUGGCGCCGACAUCUGGUGGUCGUUUGUGGUAAACACCUACAGCGCAUGUGUUGGCAGACCCCCAGCACCUACAAGGCCAGGGUGAUAUUCAUGCUAAAUAGGUAUUUCAUGCUCCACCAAUCCCCAGUGGACAAAUUUACAGCCACAGCCUCUUGUAUUUAAGGCGAGUGCCUUUGUUUCCCGGGGUCCCCGUAUCAUCAAUAAGGUGUUCCUGCAAUAAAGGCUGAUUGAGAAGGAUCCAACGGUGUUGCGUCUUCCUUGCCAGUCGAGGUGGGCGCGACAACUGGUGGCCCGUACGGGGACCUGAGAAAAUUAUCUUUUCUCGUCUGGAUCCAGAACUUUUUCAGCCUCAGGACGGUCGACGUCGCAGCCAGUUCCUGCUCCUAUGGUCAAAAUGCCCCAGGUUGGGGACAGAGAAGCCCCUCGGACUACAAAACUGCCAACAGCCAAAGAGCAAAGAAAUCUCAAAUUAUUUGAAAGGAAACUGGUCCAUGGAAGCGGAACAAUUAUCGAGACAAUUGCUGAUUGCUGUCCUUAACAAUACCAGAAUGGAACCCAUCACGUUUGGAGAUUUCACCUCGUGGAUCACUAAUGCUUUCUCAUUUUUUAAAGAUUGGGCUGGUAUGUUUGCCUGGGGGGGCCAUUGUCCUCUUGGGAUGUGGAGUAUGUCUAUGGCUUUUUUGCCAUUUACAACGAGAGCAUGCCAGACACAAAGCGAUUGUUUACCAAGCUAUGGCGGCCAUUGAAAGUGGUGCUUCUCCCAGUGUAUGGCUGGCCUCUCUGAUAGAUUGAGAGUUCGCCCUAGAUCAUAUUUUGUCACUGUCAUGUGAAGUCAUUGUAUCCAGAGACGGGCAACUUUCCUCAGGCUCGGACCAACCUAAGACAGGAGCCCGGUGGCGAUAGGGUUAAUUUCCAGUGACGGGUAAGGCCGAGUUUUUAGAGAGGAACGACCUAAGACAGGAGCAAUGACGUGUAUUGACGUGACACCCAGAUCUAGACCAGUCAUAGACAGAGGUGACCUUGCCCUGUUUGAACAUUCGGUCUGGUCCUAUGCCCCUCUGCUCUGCUUCUCCCCUAAUAUUAAACACACACAUAUAGCCCAGGACAGUGUGUUGUACAUAAGUCAUCUCUAGCCAUUGGGGUGCAGUCCUAACUGCAAGAGUGGUUCGCCAUGGCCGAGCUGGGCACUCUGUGAGGCAUGUCUGACCUCUCUCAGACCACUACCUCCACCUAAUGGGUUCAUUUUUAAAAAAAACAAAAAAGAGGGAGAUGUAGGGAGCGGCUAAAGAUGGCGCCGACGUCUGGUGGUCGUUUGUGGUAAACACCUACAGUGCAUGUGUUGGCAGACCCCCAGCACCUACAAGGCCAGGGUGAUAUUCAUGCUAAAUAGGUAUUUCAUGCUCCACCAAUCCCCAGUGGACAAAUUUACAGCCACAGCCUGUCUUGUAUUUAAGGCGAGUGCCUUUGUUCCCCGGGGUCCCCGUAUCAUCAAUAAGGUGUUCCUGCAAUAAAGGCUGAUUGAGAAGGA